rnacentral:rRNA from 1 species
GGAAUUUUGGACAAUGGGCGCAAGCCUGAUCCAGCCAUGCCGCGUGAGUGAAGAAGGCCUUCGGGUUGUAAAGCUCUUUCGGCGGGGACGAAACGGUCCGCGCUAACACCACGGACUAAUGACGGUACUCGCAGAAGAAGCACCGGCUAACUACGUGCCAGCAGCCGCGGUAAUACGGAGGGUGCAAGCGUUAAUCGGAAUUACUGGGCGUAAAGCGCGCGUAGGUGGUUUGAUAAGCGAGAUGUGAAAGCCCCGGGCUUAACCUGGGAACGGCAUUUCGAACUGUCAGGCUAGAGUAUGGUAGAGGAGUGUGGAAUUUCCUGUGUAGCGGUGAAAUGCGUAGAUAUAGGAAGGAACACCAGUGGCGAAGGCGCCACUCUGGACCAAUACUGACACUGAGGUGCGAAAGCAUGGGGAGCA